AACGCACCUUGCGCUCCUUGGUAUUCCGAGGAGCAUGCCUGUUUGAGUGUCAGUAAAUUCUCAACUCCUUCAGCUUUUGUUAGUUGAACGGGGCUUGGAUGUGGAGGUCGUGCGGGCCCUUCAAUGGGUCGGCUCCUCUGAAAUACAUUAGCGGAACCGUUUGCGAUCCGUACAGGUGUGAUAAUUAUCUACGCCUAGUGGGUUGCUUUCAGUGUUGUUCAGCUUCUAACCGUCCCCGCAAAGGACAAACUUCAUUACUGAACCUUUGACCUCAAAUCAGGUAGGACUACCCGCUGAACUUAA
rnacentral:misc_RNA from 1 species